UACGUAGGGGGCAAGCGUUGUCCGGAAUCAUUGGGCGUAAAGAGCGUGUAGGCGGCUUGGCAAGUCUGACGUGAAAGCCCGCGGCUCAACCGCGGAUUGUCGUUGGAAACUGCCUCGCUAGAGUCCGGAAGAGGAGAGCGGAAUUCCUGGUGUAGCGGUGGAAUGCGCAGGAUAUCAGGAAGAACACCCGUGGCGAAGGCGGCUCUCUGGGACGGUACUGACGCUGAGGUACGAAAGCGUGGGGAGCGAACAGG
rnacentral:rRNA from 1 species